CCCAUCCAAAGAAGUUACCAAGUAAUACUUGUGAUUAUUCAUUUCCAUUUUUCUCUCACUCAUUCAACAUUAUUAAGAACUCUACUACAGGAUUUGGCAUAAAAAAGGUCUUCAUAACUUUGAGUAAUUUAACAUCUUAAUGUUUUGAUGAACUCUACUGCAGGAGUUGGCAAAGAUGGCACAAGAAAUGUCUUCAUAACCUGCAAAAUGUAUAUGAUCAUAUGAAAACUUCUAAUUGACAGUGGGCAAGGUUCAUUGCAAAUUCACCAACUAAUUCAGUUUCUGCAAGUAAAGUUAAUACCCUAUUUCCAAUGGAUAAAUCUUGGAUAGACAUGCCAAGAAACACACCUCAAUAUAUGGAUGGCUUAAACAAAUUUUUGGACUUUGCAUUUGCUAAUAGUGGUGUAAGGGGGAAAAUAGUAUGUCCAUGUCAAAAAUGCAACUUUAACA